rnacentral:rRNA from 1 species
AACGAACGCUGGCGGCGUGGAUAAGACAUGCAAGUCGAACGGCCCCGACAUUUUAGCAAUAAAAUGUCGGGUAGUGGCGAAAGGGUGCGUAACACGUAGCUACCUACCUCGAAGUUGGGGAUAGCUCGGCGGAAAGCCGGAUUAAUACCGAAUGUGAUCGUGAGAUCAAAGCUGGGGAUCGUAAGACCUGGCGCUUUGAGAUGGGGCUGCGGCCUAUCAGGUAGUUGGCGGGGUAAGGCCCACAAGCCUAAGACGGUAGCUGGUCUGAGAGGACGACCAGCCACACUGGAACUGAGA